UGCCUCAGUAGCGGCGAGUGAAGCGGCAAAAGCUCAAAUUUGAAAUCUGGCGUCUUUGGCGUCCGAGUUGUAAUUUGAAGAAGGUAUCUUUGGGCCCGGCUCUUGUCUAUGUUCCUUGGAACAGGACGUCACAGAGGGUGAGAAUCCCGUGCGAUGAGAUGACCCGGGUCUGUGUAAAGUUCCUUCGACGAGUCGAGUUGUUUGGGAAUGCAGCUCUAAGUGGGUGGUAAAUUCCAUCUAAAGCUAAAUAUUGGCGAGAGACCGAUAGCGAACAAGUACAGUGAUGGAAAGAUGAAAAGAACUUUGAAAAGAGAGUGAAAAAGUACGUGAAAUUGUUGAAAGGGAAGGGCUUGAGAUCAGACUUGGUAUUUUGCAUGCUGCUCUCUCGGGGGCGGCCGCUGCGGUUUACCGGGCCAGCAUCGGUUUGGAGCGGCAGGAUAAUGGCGGAGGAAUGUGGCACGGCUUCUGCUGUGUGUUAUAGCCUCUGACGAUACUGCCAGCCUAGACCGAGGACUGCGGUUUUUAACCUAGGAUGUUGGCAUAAUGAUCUUAAGUCGCCCGUCUUGAAACACGGACCAAGGAGUCUAACGUCUAUGCGAGUGUUUGGGUGUAAAACCCGUACGCGUAAUGAAAGUGAACGAAGGUGGGGGCCCAUUAGGGUGCACCAUCGACCGAUCCUGAUGUGUUCGGAUGGAUUUGAGUAAGAGCAUAGCUGUUGGGACCCGAAAGAUGGUGAACUAUGCCUGAAUAGGGUGAAGCCAGAGGAAACUCUGGUGGAGGCUCGUAGCGGUUCUGACGUGCAAAUCGAUCGUCGAAUUUGGGUAUAGG
rnacentral:rRNA from 1 species